GUCAUAAGAGGAUAGAACGGGCAGCUAUCACGCCUACUACGUAGGUCUUUUAAGAGAUGCAGGGUUGCCAACCUGCCUUAUGAC
rnacentral:ncRNA from 12 species